rnacentral:rRNA from 1 species
UCAGAACGAACGCUGGCGGCAGGCCUAACACAUGCAAGUCGAGCGCACUCUUCGGAGUGAGCGGCGGACGGGUUAGUAACGCGUGGGAACAUACCUUUUGGUAAGGAAUAGCCACUGGAAACGGUGAGUAAUACCUUAUACGCCCUUCGGGGGAAAGAUUUAUCGCCGAGAGAUUGGCCCGCGUUAGAUUAGAUAGUUGGUGGGGUAACGGCCUACCAAGUCUACGAUCUAUAGCUGGUUUUAGAGGAUGAUCAGCAACACUGGGACUGAGACACGGCCCAGACUCCUACGGGAGGCAGCAGUGGGGAAUCUUGGACAAUGGGCGCAAGCCUGAUCCAGCCAUGCCGCGUGAGUGAUGAAGGCCUUAGGGUCGUAAAGCUCUUUCGCCAGAGAUGAUAAUGACAGUAUCUGGUAAAGAAACCCCGGCUAACUCCGUGCCAGCAGCCGCGGUAAUACGGAGGGGGUUAG